rnacentral:rRNA from 1 species
AUUGAACGCUGGCGGCAUGCUUUACACAUGCAAGUCGAACGGCAGCGCGGGCUUCGGCCUGGCGGCGAGUGGCGAACGGGUGAGUAAUGCAUCGGAACGUGCCCAGUCGUGGGGGAUAGCCCGGCGACAGCCGGAUUAAUACCGCAUCCGACCUGAGUGUGAACGCGGGGGACCGAAAGGCCUCGCGCUAUUUGCGCGGCCGAUGUCGGAUUAGCUAGUUGGUGGGGUAAAGGCUUACCAAGGCGACGAUCCGUAGCUGGUCUGAGAGGACGACCAGCCACACUGGGACUGAGACACGGCCCAGACUCCUACGGGAGGCAGCAGUGGGGAAUUUUGGACAAUGGGGGAAACCCUGAUCCAGCAAUGCCGCGUGCGGGAAGAAGGCCUUCGGGUUGUAAAACGCUUUUGUUAGGGAAGAAAUCCUCUGGGCUAAUACCCCGGGGGGAUGACGGUACCGGAAGAAUAAGCACCGGCUAACUACGUG